ensembl:snoRNA
CUGGCCCUAAAUCAAACCUAGCAGUUUGCAGAUGCCAUUGACUUUAAGCAGGAGCCUAAAGAGAUGUCUAUGAUCUUGACCAUUUCAGGACUUCGGAACUGGAAUGGUCAAUUCAUUGGGAGGAAAUACCA